CAAAGGAAGCGAUUCCGGCAACGGACGGGCAUGCGUGACAUUAGCUAGUUGGCGGGGCAACGGCCCACCAAGGCGACGAUGUCUAGGGGUUCUGAGAGGAAGGUCCCCCACACUGGUACUGAGACGCGGACCAGACUCCUACGGGAGGCAGCAGUGAGGAAUAUUGGUCAAUGGGCGCGAGCCUGAACCAGCCAAGUCGCGUGAGAGAUGACGGCCCUACGGGUUGUAAACCUCUUUUGUCGGGGAGCAAAUUCCGCCACGCGUGGCGGAGUCGAGAGUACCCGAAGAAAAAGCAUCGGCUAACUCCGUGCCAGCAGCCGCGGUAAUACGGAGGAUGCGAGCGUUAUCCGGAUUUAUUGGGUUUAAAGGGUGCGUAGGCGGACUGUCAAGUCAGCGGUAAAAUACGGGGGCUCAACCUCCGCCCGCCGUUGAAACUGACGGUCUUGAGUGGGCGAGAAGUAUGCGGAAUGCGUGGUGUAGCGGUGAAAUGCAUAGAUAUCACGCAGAACUCCGAUUGCGAAGGCAGCAUACCGGCGCCCAACUGACGCUGAAGCACGAAAGCGUGGGUAUCGAACAGGAUUAGAUACCCUGGUAGUCCACGCAGUAAACGAUGAAUACUAGCUGUCCGGGGCGAAUGAGCUCUGG
rnacentral:rRNA from 1 species